UCAAAAACAUGUCUUAUUGAUUUUAUUUUUAGGUUUAGCCUGCCCACUGAAUUAUUAUUGAAUGGCCGCGGUAUUUUGACCGUGCUAAGGUAGCAUAAUCAUUAGUUUCUUAAUUAGAAGCUGGAAUGAAAGGUUGGAUGAGGGAAUUACUGUCUCUAAUUAAAUUUUUUUGAAUUUUAUUUUUUAGUGAAAAAGCUAAAAUUUUUUUGAAAGACGAGAAGACCCUUUAGAGUUUUAUAAAAUUUAGAUUUUUAUUAUUUAUUGGAAUAUAAAAUUUUAAGUUUAAAUUUUAUUUGAUUGGGGUGAUUGAAAAAUUAAAUUAACUUUUUUUGUUGAAAACAUUAAUGCAUGAUUUUUUGAUCCAAUAUUUUUGAUUAAAAGAUAAAAUUACCUUAGGGAUAACAGCGUAAUUUUUUUAGAGAGCUCUUAUCGAAAAAAAAGAUUGCGACCUCGAUGUUGGAUUAAAAUAAAUAAUUGGUGUAGAAGCUAGUUAAAUUAGGUCUGUUCGACCUUUAAAAUUUUACAUGAUCUGA
rnacentral:rRNA from 1 species